ensembl:lncRNA
UAUGAAAGGCCAUAAUCAGGGACUCAUUUUUGUUUACUGAUGUUCAAACCCCCAGGCUGGAGGAAGGGAUGAGGCAGCGGGUGUCAGACAGCGGACGGUGUUCAUUGAGGUCUUUCACACAGCACGUGACAGGCGGGUGCCCAGCGAUUUAAUGCCUACCAACGCUCUUCAUGGCAGCUGCUGCUUUAAAUGGAAUUCCAGCACAAGUUGUGGCUUCUGCUGCCUGAGCCUCUUUCCCUUUCCCUUCUCUUUCUCCAUGCAGAAAAAAUGGCACCCACUGACAUUCAUCGACAGUUGCUGAACAGUUAUG